rnacentral:tRNA from 1 species
UAGGUUUUUACUUGAAUGGGGUUCAAGAGGCCGCAGGUUCGACUCCUGUCACUCGGACCA